CCUACGGGAGGCAGCAGUGAGGAAUAUUGGUCAAUGGGCGAGAGCCUGAACCAGCCAAGUAGCGUGAAGGAUGACUGCCCUACGGGUUGUAAACUUCUUUUAUAAAGGAAUAAAGUGCAGUAUGUGUACCUUUUUGUAUGUACUUUAUGAAUACGGAUCGGCUAACUCCGUGCCAGCAGCCGCGGUAAUACGGAGGAUCCGAGCGUUAUCCGGAUUUAUUGGGUUUAAAGGGAGCGUAGGUGGGCUGUUAAGUCAGUUGUGAAAGUUUGCGGCUCAACCGUAAAAUUGCAAUUGAUACUGGCAGUCUUGAGUGCAGUUGAGGUAGGCGGAAUUCGUGGUGUAGCGGUGAAAUGCUUAGAUAUCACGAAGAACUCCGAUUGCGAAGGCAGCUUACUAAACUGGAACUGACGUUGAUGCUCGAAAGUGUGGGUAUCAAACAGGAUUAGAUACCCUGGUAGUC
rnacentral:rRNA from 1 species